AUACCAAUACGAGCGAGACAAGCAAACACCGUUUUCAUAAUCAAUAAACAAUGAAAUUUAAGAUGAUCAUACUCAACAACAUAUCUUCAAGAAAUAGAAAAUUAAUCCCUCAGUCAAACCUGCAGAAUUCAGACUUCUUUGUCCUAAUCUUUACGAAAGCGGAAGGACUUAAUUUUUUUCUUACAAAAAGACUUAAAACCACCUAUAUAUAUGCAGGGGUUCUUCAGAGUAUCUCCAACAACUAAUACAGGUUGUCUGAUACUACUUACUACUCUGUUAGAAUGGCAACAAACACUGUGAAUAGUCUCAUGGUCACAUUCAUGAUCAUCAUGUUCGUCUUGUCUCUUGCAUCCAUGCCAUCCUAUGCUGCUCGAUUCACUUUCCUAGAAUCUGAUUUUAAGGGGGGGAUGUGCGGUCCGUGUGCUUGUUGCAAACCUAAUAACCCCCCUUGCUGCAUCUGUGCCUGCCCGUAUCUGCCCUGAAAUGAAGCGCUCGUUUCGUUUUCAAAGCAAAGUGGAUCAAAUAACUGAUGGAGCUUUUGUGUAUUUAGCAGUGUUUGAUGAAUGAAUAGUAUACAAUGUACGGUACAAUAAAUGUUUAAGACAUUUCUGGUUAUGGACAGAUGAAUAUUGUAUGUA